rnacentral:rRNA from 1 species
UACGAAGGGGGCUAGCGUUGCUCGGAAUUACUGGGCGUAAAGCGCACGUAGGCGGCUUUCUAAGUCGGGGGUGAAAUCCUGGAGCUCAACUCCAGAACUGCCUUCGAUACUGGAGAGCUUGAGUUCGGGAGAGGUGAGUGGAACUGCGAGUGUAAGAGGUGAAAUUCGUAGAUAUUCGCAAGAACACCAGUGGCGAAAGGCGGCUCACUGGCC